AGAGUUUGAUCAUGGCUCAGGAUGAACGCUAGCUACAGGCUUAACACAUGCAAGGUCGAGGGGAAACGACAUCGAAAGCUUGCUUUUGAUGGGCGUCGACCGGCGCACGGGUGAGUAACGCGUAUCCAACCUGCCCAUCACUUGGGGAUAACCUUGCGAAAGUAAGACUAAUACCCAAUGACGUCUCUAGAAGACAUCUGAAAAGAGAUUAAAAGAUUUAUCGGUGAUGGAUGGGGAUGCGUCUGAUUAGCUUGUUGGCGGGGUAACGCCACCAAGGCGACGAUCAGUAGGGUUCUGAGAGGAAGGUCCCCACAUUGGAACUGAGACACGGUCCAAACUCCUACGGGAGCA
rnacentral:rRNA from 1 species